UGCGUAGGCGGACUAAUAAGUCAGUGGUGAAAUCUUGCAGCUUAACUGUAAAACUGCCAUUGAUACUGUUAGUCUUGAAUUUAGUUGAGGUAGGCGGAAUGUAUUGUGUAGCGGUGAAAUGCAUAGAUAUAAUACAGAACACCGAUUGCGAAGGCAGCUUACUAAGCUACAAUUGACGCUGAUGCACGAAAGCGUGGGGAGCGAACAGGAUUAGAUACCCUGGUAGUCC
rnacentral:rRNA from 1 species